rnacentral:rRNA from 1 species
ACGGGGGGUUCCCGCGGGGUUCGGAAUGAAGGGGCGUAAAGAGCGUGUAGGCGGCUGAAUAAGUCAGAUGUGAAAUCCCCGGGCUUAACCUUGGAAGUGCAUUUGAAACUAUUCAGCUGGAGUAAGGGAGAGGAAAGUGGAAUUCCUGGUGUAGAGGUGAAAUUCGUAGAUAUCAGGAGGAACACCGGCGGCGAAGGCGACUUUCUGGCCCUAUACUGACUCUGAGACGCGAGAGCGUGGGUAGCAAACAG